rnacentral:misc_RNA from 1 species
GAAAUGCGAUAAGUAAUGUGAAUUGCAGAAUUCAGUGAAUCAUCGAAUCUUUGAACGCACAUUGCGCCCACUAGUAUUCUGGUGGGCAUGCCUGUUCGAGCGUCAUUACAACCCUUACGCCUCUGUUGCGUAGCGUUGGGAGUCCUGCACCGCCUUGGCGUGGUACACUCCCCAAAGUCAGUGGCAGAGUCACGGCACACUCUGAGCGUAGUAAUUCAUAUCUCGCUUCUGCUGGUGCCAUGGCGAUCGCCAUAAGCCUUCUAUUUUCUAGUGGUUGACCUCGGAUCAGGUAGGAAUACCCGCUGAACUUAA